rnacentral:rRNA from 1 species
GAUGAACGCUGGCGGCGUGCCUAAUACAUGCAAGUCGAGCGAACAGAUGAGGAGCUUGCUCCUCUGACGUUAGCGGCGGACGGGUGAGUAACACGUGGAUAACCUACCUAUAAGACUGGGAUAACUUCGGGAAACCGGAGCUAAUACCGGAUAAUAUAUUGAACCGCAUGGUUCAAUAGUGAAAGACGGUUUUGCUGUCACUUAUAGAUGGAUCCGCGCCGCAUUAGCUAGUUGGUAAGGUAACGGCUUACCAAGGCAACGAUGCGUAGCCGACCUGAGAGGAUGAUCAGCCACACUGGAACUGAGACACGGUCCAGACUCCUACGGGAGGCAGCAGUAGGGAAUCUUCCGCAAUGGGCGAAAGCCUGACGGAGCAACGCCGCGUGAGUGAUGAAGGUCUUCGGAUCGUAAAGCUCUGUUAUUAGGGAAGAACAAAUGUGUAAGUAACUAUGCACGUCUUGACGGUACCUAAUCAGAAAGCCACGGCUAACUACGUG